CCUACGGGAGGCAGCAGUGGGGAAUAUUGGACAAUGGGGGGAACCCUGAUCCAGCCAUGCCGCGUGUGUGAAGAAGGCCCUCGGGUCGUAAAGCACUUUCAGUGAGGAAGAACGCCUGGUGGUUAAUACCCAUCAGGAAAGACAUCACUCACAGAAGAAGCACCGGCUAACUCCGUGCCAGCAGCCGCGGUAAUACGGAGGGUGCGAGCGUUAAUCGGAAUUACUGGGCGUAAAGCGCGCGUAGGUGGCUUGAUAAGCCGGUUGUGAAAGCCCCGGGCUCAACCUGGGAACGGCAUCCGGAACUGUCAAGCUAGAGUGCAGGAGAGGAAGGUAGAAUUCCCGGUGUAGCGGUGAAAUGCGUAGAGAUCGGGAGGAAUACCAGUGGCGAAGGCGGCCUUCUGGACUGACACUGACACUGAGGUGCGAAAGCGUGGGUAGCAAACAGGAUUAGAUACCCUAGUAGUC
rnacentral:rRNA from 1 species